AGUGGGGUGGUGUAAUGGUAGCACGUUUGACUUUGGAUCAAAAGGCGGUAGGUUCGAUUCCUCCCUCCACUG
rnacentral:tRNA from 1 species